ensembl:lncRNA
CGCUUUGCAAAAUGCCCAGGGAAGCGCUCCAUCUGCACAGGGACUUCUGCCUGCUUCGCACGUGGCCCAAGCCCAGGGGGCUUCUCCCACCCCCAGCUCAGGCGGGGCAGCGGCAGAACCUUCCAUCCUCCCGGCAGACCCGAGGCUCCCACGGGUCCCUGAGGCUGCGGAUGCGGAGUGGGGUCCUCCGUCAGGGCGGCUAAAGGCUCGCGUUGCCAGCUGGCGGGUAGUAAGGGCCCUCUCACUGUUUUGCUUGGUUUCAUCACCCCAGCCUCCUGCCCUCCCGUGGUCCACGGGCGGAGCAAGGGGUGUUGCAGCGGCCUAGCUGGUGAAGGAAGGGAGUGAGGGUAGUUAUCACGGAAAGAGGACUAGAAAAGACAAUUCUUUUGGGGUGUAAGAGAACUUGGGGUGGGAAAAAGGACCCUAAAUUGGGACAAUUUUAUGAGAAGCUUUAACCAGUUCCCAGAGUGGAAUCCAAUUCUGAGACGAGGAUUCUUGUGAAGGCAUUUCUUAGGAAGCCUUCCCAGGGAAACCCCCAGGGGAAGGGGAAGGCAUGGCAGGAAGGGAAGAAGGCAAGCAAGCUGCGGUGCUGAGCAGAGGCCCGCGGGGAGAAGCGGGCCGGGCUGCACCUUGUGAAGGUUCACCUGGGGCCAGAGGGUCCUCGCGGAGCGGCUCGCGCGGGCUGGCCAGUGGCGCUGGCCGUCAGCGGGAGGCCUCAGUCCUCUCCCAGCGGCCGCUCCCAGGCCUGCUCCAGCGUCCUCAUGAUGCGGAAUCCGCAGCUGUGUAGUCCGACAGGGGGAGCCAGGCAGAAGCCAUCCAUUUCAGGACCCAGCCUGGGAGGUCCCCUAGCAUGACUUCCCCAUCUCGGAUUCUUUAGAGGGGCGUCACUCGGUCUGACCCACAUCUGAGGGGAAGGGGGUUAGGGUCCCCCUCCUGAAGGCAGGAGUGUCAAAGAAUUUGUGGACAUCUUUUAAAACCACUACAGUAACUUCGGCUCAGCCUUGCCCCGAAGCUCUGAAGAUAACACUGUUUACCCUCAACCUGGUUUCCAUCGGCUGCAAGGCGGCGGUCGGAUUCUCACAUGCUCAUACCCCCUAUCGCAGAACAAGGGCGGCCUUAGGGGGGUGGGCUCCCUGACCCACAGGCAAAGUGGGAGCCUGCGAGCUGCCCUUUGAGGAGUGACGCCGGUGCUGGCCACCGAGUGUGAACGCCAUUGGGAGGUACGCACACCAGUGUGGCCGAGUGAUCUGAGGGGAUGAAAGGCAACACACUGACAAGGUCUGCUACAACCCAAGAGCGUGGCUGAUUUAACAUAAUAAACGGGAUCUUAUUUACACAGCGGUUGUUCUAUUUACACGAUUGUUCGAGGAAUAAUUCAGUAAUGUGGCUCUCGGGCUCCGGUCCAGCAGUGUUUGCAGAAGAGUGCUCCAGACUCCUUUGAUGGGGUCAUCAGCUUUCUGCUCUAUCUUCCCUUGCUUAUGUGAUUUCAUCUCCAAGCAGAAUUCACUGUCUUCUCAGAGAGCCUGGGAGCAGAUGUCGGAAAACUACAUAAUGAAAUCAAGUAACAAAAUAGAACUCGGCAGAUGCUUGCCCGAAAGAGCAGGGGAAGGAGAUGGCCGGACACCAAGGGUUAUUAAUAACACUCUGUACUUUGACGAUGUCUUUCAUCUGAGCCUCGAAGAGCCGCACGGCCGUUUAAGUAAUCCAGGGAGUUAUUUUCUUGGAUAGAAUCUUUAAAUCCAACAGGUCUUUUGAAAGUUUGGUGCUUUGAAUGUUUUACUCUUUCUGGAUUGUUCUCAAGGGAAAAAUGAUUUUGAUUUAUAAAUCGUAUGGAGGUUUUUAAAAGUCAGUUAUUUCUUAAAACAAUAGAUAAUGCACUGCCUUUGGCAAUAUUUCUACGGAAUUCACGUGGUCUUUUCGUUUUCUGUCUCAAAGCUGUCUUCAUAAAAUUAUUUAAGUACGUGAUAGAACAUUUCUGUUCAGCAGGGAAAACAUCUCUAAAGAUCCUGCCUGAAAUUCUAAUAGCUAUCGGUCCCAGUCUGCUAACCAUCUAUUAAUCCUCUUACAUGAGAUGCCAAAUGACCUGGUACCGAGGUCUCCACUGUUCUUUGUCUGCCAUGUGCCACUAUUGAUGGAACAGGGCCGCGGCAGUGAGGCGGCCCUGGCAACGAGGAGAAGAGGCCGUCUCUACACUGGGGUUUGUCCGGGGACUAAGUCAGUCUAUAAUUCAAUUUGCUUUGAGAUCCUGCACCAGAGAAGCAGAGCACGGCAGAGAGACACGAGGGGCUCCACCUCCACGCGGACCCAGGAGCGGGUCUCCCACGCAGGCUGGUGCCUACCUCACUCAGUCAGUCAGCCGGCACAGCCACACUGCCGCCUGUUAGCAUGCGACCGCCCGUGGAGAAGCAUGAGAUGCAGUGGGAAAGGCACUUGGGCUGUAUCUCAUUAACUUGUCACAUCUCUUCCCCGAAGUGCAUGAGGUUGUGUUUUGCCUACUGUGUGGUCACUGAUUGUUUCAUCACUGAGUCCUGAACUGAAAAGGGCUGCAGCGUAACAAAGUCCAGAUCCGGAAGGGAAAGACUUGGGCUGCCAGGACUGAAACCACAGCAAAGGACACGUCCCCGAGGGGUCCGGGAUUCACCUGCUGUCCGGGGCAGCGCCUGCCCUGUUUCUCCGGCGCUCAGCAUGAGGAGUGUUGCUGGGCCUCACAGGCCUACAGAGUGGACUAACAAGGGAUGUGUUUGCAGCUGUCAGGAGGCUGGUGGCUGCUGCGCUGCAGAGACUCUGGACCGGACAGCCCUUUCUGGCUGAUGUUUUCUUUUUCUUUUUUUCAGGUGGGCAGCAGGAAGUUUUCCUUUCCUGGCGGUUCCCGAGCAUUUGGAAUUCCCAGCUACUUCCACGAGGUGGCAGCACCGAGAGCAGGGCCGCCGCGCGCUCGGCCCGGGGCUGGGGCUCCCGGCACAACCUCCGGGAGGGCCUCCCACCCGCGGACCCCUGAGCCAGGUCUGCUCUGGCUCGCCCUUUUCUUCGAGAAAAGACCAUUCGGAGGCUUGUGCCUUUGCGGACUGUUUCAGCCGUGGGCCCACCUUCCUCUCAACGAGCCCGCUUCUUGACGUAAGACGUGAGCUGAUGCUUUGUCCCAGCCGUAUCCUGGGCUGAGGCAGGCCCCCGAGCUCCACGGGUCAUUGUGCCACCUGUCCUUUCUGCUGUGCAGAAGUCUGUGGAAAUGACUGUGUUUCUCUUGAGGAAGGAAUUCUGCUCACUCCUUAAUAGUUCCUUUCUUGGAGAGGGCUGGUCCCCUGCCUUGGGCCAGGCCGGAUCCGCUGGGCCCCACAACGUUUUGCCGAGCAGAAGGGGCGUUCAAGGCGGCUUCCUACAGUCAUUGCCCUGCCCGGGACUCCCACCCCGACCCUGAGGACAUCCGUAAGUCCAUUUUGAAGAAAGGCACCAGCAACGCUCAGUUCUCACUGUACCCCGCCUCUGUCCUUCCCCUCACUCACCGGAACCUUCCAGAAACUCUUCCCAUCUGGCUUCAGUGACUCUUCCGUGAACCCUCCUGAUUCUCCUCUUCCGGGUGUCUUUGUGGCGCCCUCCCUCUUAUCUCCGAAAGUCGGUUUGGGGGACCACAUUUCCAGCUGUGUCCUAGCUGGCACACUCGAGUUCCAUUUUCAUGGUCUUCUGGGCUUUCCACAUCGCUGCGCCAUGAUCACCACGGACCAGGUAUGACUAACAUCAAACUUGUCUCCUCUGUGGGUCAGAAAAUAGCCCACAUUUCCUUUCCUGUGCCAAUUUUAAUGCCGUCGCUAUCGAUAACCUGAAAAACCUGGUGAUGCCUGUGCCUUUUCCAUCUCUCCUCCCCCUCAUAUCCAAUCGAUUAGCAAGUCCAUCAACAUCCCCUCCUUUUUUUAUUUCUGCGAGGUGACAACUGUGAUGUGCUAGAAAGAGCCUUUCACUUUGCAUCGGAAGGGUGAUGUUGGCACCAUUUGUCAGCUGUGGGACAUUGAGCAAGGAACUUUUGCAACCCUGUCCCAGCGUACUAGAGCGAGAUCACAGCAUCCAGAGAUGAUGGCCUUUGGAGACCAUAUAGGCAAUCCCCUUUUUUUAGGAGUAAGAAAACCAAGUCCCAGAAGUGACUCAGCUGAGGUCUCAGAGCUGAGACCCAGCACCAGGUAUUUGGACCACAGGUCAAGGCUCUUUCUUCUGAUCCAAUGGGUCUUCAGGAAGUCCCCGUUAAAAUAGAAAUGUGGCUUUAGAGGGAACCACACAGAAGCCAUCACUGCUCCUGAACACUAAGACCAUCUCCUCUAACCCCCAGACAGAAGCAAAAGAAAGGCCAGUUUUGAAGGGGGCAAAGGAGAGGAACAGCUCUGAGCAAAGCAGCCUGGGAGCCCAUGUCAGGGCCGUUGGCAUCCUGUCAGUCCUCUUUUUUGUAACACAGUACCCUGGAUUUCCUUUGGUGGGCGGUUAUCUGCACACACCUCCACCCCCCCCCCCCCAUGAACUGGGGAGACGUGACCCCACCCUCACCCUCAGGGGCAAACCUGAUUGGCCUCACUCAGUCUGCAUAUCCAAUACUCCAGGUCAGUUACUGAUAGACCGACUGGGGGCGGCACGUGACUUGGACAGUGUGUGGAGCUCAAGAUGUCUGCUGGGUUGGCUGAGAACUAGAUGCGACCCUUGGAGCUCUGGAAUCCCUCCUGCUCUGAUGAGGGAAAAUCCGCCAAGACCGACUCGGUGUGGAGAAAGGAGGGCAGAGAAACUGAGAAGGAGGAAUCCCAUCCUCAUGACAUGGUUUGAGCCCCUUGAUGGAGCUUUGCCUGAAACUAGCCCUACCUUUGAAUGUUU